rnacentral:rRNA from 2 species
GAUGAACGCUGGCGGCGUGCCUAAUACAUGCAAGUCGAACGAGUUCUCGUUGAUGAUCGGCGCUUGCACCGAGAUUCAACAUGGAACGAGUGGCGGACGGGUGAGUAACACGUGGGUAACCUGCCCUUAAGUGGGGGAUAACAUUUGGAAACAGAUGCUAAUACCGCAUAGAUCCAAGAACCGCAUGGUUCUUGGCUGAAAGAUGGCGUAAGCUAUCGCUUUUGGAUGGACCCGCGGCGUAUUAGCUAGUUGGUGAGGUAAUGGCUCACCAAGGCGAUGAUACGUAGCCGAACUGAGAGGUUGAUCGGCCACAUUGGGACUGAGACACGGCCCAAACUCCUACGGGAGGCAGCAGUAGGGAAUCUUCCACAAUGGACGCAAGUCUGAUGGAGCAACGCCGCGUGAGUGAAGAAGGCUUUCGGGUCGUAAAACUCUGUUGUUGGAGAAGAAGGUCGGCAGAGUAAC